rnacentral:rRNA from 1 species
UGGGGAAUUUUGGGCAAUGGGGGAAACCCUGACCCAGCAACGCCGCGUGAAGGAUGAAGUAUUUCGGUAUGUAAACUUCGAAAGAAUAGGAAGAAUAAAUGACGGUACUAUUUAUAAGGUCCGGCUAACUACGUGCCAGCAGCCGCGGUAAUACGUAGGGACCAAGCGUUGUUCGGAUUUACUGGGCGUAAAGGGCGCGUAGGCGGCAUGACAAGUCACUUGUGAAAUCUCUGGGCUUAACCCAGAACGGCCAAGUGAUACUGUCGCGCUAGAGUGCAGAAGGGGCAAUCGGAAUUCUUGGUGUAGCGGUGAAAUGCGUAGAUAUCAAGAGGAACACCUGAGGUGAAGACGGGUUGCUGGGCUGACACUGACGCUGAGGCGCGAAAGCCAGGGGAGCAAACGGGAUUAGAUACCCAGGUAGUCCCUGAGCGGGCUGGCAAGGCGCAU